GGGUGUUUGGCCGAGUUGGUCUAAGGCGCUACGUUCAGGUCGUAGUCUCUCCGGAGGCGUGAGUUCGAAUCUCACAGCACCCA
rfam:Spizellomyces punctatus DAOM BR117 chromosome Tnknown supercont1.1, whole genome shotgun sequence.